CCUACGGGAGGCAGCAGUGAGGAAUAUUGGUCAAUGGCCGUAAGUCUGAACCAGCCAAGUCGCGUGAAGGAAGAAUGCUCUCUGGUUUGUAAACUUCUUUUAUAUGGGAAUAAAGUUUUCCACGUGUGGAAAUUUGUAUGUACCCUAUGAAUAAGCAUCGGCUAACUCCGUGCCAGCAGCCGCGGUAAUACGGAGGAUCCGAGCGUUAUCCGGAUUUAUUGGGUUUAAAGGGAGCGUAGGUGGGUUGUUAAGUCAGUGGUGAAAGUUUGCGGCUCAACCGUAAAAUUGCAGUUGAAACUGGAAGUCUUGAGUACAGUAGAGGUAGGCGGAAUGCGUGGUGUAGCGGUGAAAUGCGUAGAUAUCACGAAGAACUCCGAUGGCGAAGGCAGCUUACUGGACCGCAACUGACACUGAGGCACGAAAGCGUGGGGAUCAAACAGGAUUAGAUACCCCAGUAGUC
rnacentral:rRNA from 1 species